UCAUGACUUCUUAACACAUCAGAUUUGAAGAGAGGAAGCCAUAUCCGAUAGGUCCGCAAACACUAUUACUCAAUUCUGAAUCACAAGAGGCUUUCAAAGACAAAUCUUUCUCCUUUGUUAAAGAUGUCAAAACGACUGGGGAGAUGAUUUAUCUGCAGGAUGAAACGUUCUGCAAUAUAAUUGGCCCAACUAAAAGGCUAAAGGCUAAUCGAUUCAGCUGGUAUUAUGAAGUUUGUCCAACCUACAAAAAGAUUAACAAAUCACCUGGUGAGCCCUUUCAAUGCGACUGCUCCGGGAUUAAGUCUCCUCGCAUCACCAAGUAUAAAAUAGAGAUUGAGGUUGAGCAUGAAAACAAGGUUAGUGGUUUCGUCAUGAUUUAAGACAAAUUAUGAAGAAGGUUUGUAUUUGUAACUCAAAUCUGUCAUUCACUAUUUUCAAAUGAAGUCAUCAUUAUCACUUUCAGCUUUUCUUACCAAUGUUAACCUUAACCCCCUUUGAUCAAUAACAAUAAUAUAAUUCAUGAUUGUUUGGUUUUGUUUAUCAUAUCGGCACAUUUCCAGUGGCUGUAUACCUGCUUCGAUGAAUUUUUACACACAAAUUAUAGCGUAUAAAUGCCACUGUUGUUAUGACCCUAAAUUCAGUCGCUCUACACUUAAAUCAGAAUGCUGUCCUAAUUCCUGUUAUGACAUAUAUUCAGUUGCUAUAUACACUUAAAACAGAAUGUCGUCCUAAUUUUUGCUCUGACAUAUAUUCAGUUGAUGUACACUUUCUAUUGAAUGUUGGCCCCAAAUUGCUGUUAUGAGUUGUAGUACACUUAAAACAGAAUAUUGUCCUAAAAUUUGUUAACACAUAUUAAGUUGCUCUUCAUUUUCUAUUGAAUGUUGUCUUAUUUGUUGUUAUGUCAUAUAUUCAGUUGCUCUACACUUUCUAUUGAAUGUUGGCCUACUAACUUGCUUAUUACCUUAUCAUGGUCAGUUAUUUUUUUCAUCCUACCAGUUCUACUUCUGCUGCCCAGAAUAGGAGCUUGGAUGCUAGAUUUAACAAUACUCCGUCUAAUAGGUUGUCAGAAGAUGAUUCACAUUAAGAUUCAGUACCUUCGGAUUUCUCGACUCCAAGGUAAUCUGCUACCAAGAGGCCUAAGAAUGCAAAGCAUUCCAAAGCUAAAUGGUGGCCACCUUUUUCUACUUAUUUUGUGUAAGGAUUUAUUAUUAUGUCUAUCGGACACUGUUGUUCUGCCACAUUAGACUUAGGCUCUACAAGACUUCACCUUAAUUUGUAAUGACAUGUCCAUUAUUAUGGAUAACAUAUUAACAUCCUUUCUGUUUUGAUAAACCUUACUAUUCUAAUGUUCUUUAUUAAUCUAUGAUCAUGUUUCUUCAAAUCACAUGGAUAUGUUUAAGAACAUCUUAAUUCUGUCAAAAUAUGACCUCAAUGAUGCAAUCCCGACAUAUGAUUAUAUUAAAUGAUGAUCAUUGACAAAGAUGUUUGCAUAUAAUGAAGAUUGAGUUAACUGAACUACUGAUGAUCACUUCAAUAUCCGUUUUAUCUGCUUUCAAACUCCUAAGACAGAGUAUCAUAUUUUCUAAUGGCAUGCUCUCUCAUACUUUACAAGUAUUGCUUCUUUUUGGAUAGUACAAAAAAUACUUCACCUUUUCAAGUAUUGCUUCUGAGUAGGACUAUAAUAUCUCCUGCUACAUAUAUC